rnacentral:rRNA from 1 species
UGUGACUGCAUCGAUCCGUUCUGGCCAACCGACGAGCUCCUCAUCAAGUACAAGUACAUCUCAGACUUCUUCAUAGCGCUCGCCUACUUCUCCAUCCUACUCGAGCUCAUCUACUUCCUCAAGAAGCCAUCCUUCUUCCCCUACCGAUGGGUGCUCUUCCAGUUCGGCGCCUUCACCGUCCUCUGCAGGGCCACUCACCUCAUAAACCUCUGGACCUUCACCAUGCACACCAAGACCAUCGCCAUCGUCAUGACCACGGCCAAGGUCUCCACGGCCGUCGUGUCUUGCGCAACCGCCCUCAUGCUCGUACACAUAAUACCCGAUUUGUUGAGCGUCAAGACAAGAGAGUUGUUUCUCAAGAAGAAGGCCGACGAGCUUGACAGAGAAAUGGGACUGAUACGCACGCAGGAGGAGAGGGGGAGGCAUGUCAGAAUGCUCACCCAUGAGAUCAGGAGCACGCUUGACAGGCACACCAUCUUGAAGACUACUCUGGUUGAGCUAGGGAGGAUGUUGGGUCUGGAGGAAUGUUCCUUGUGGAUGCCGUCGCGGAGCGGUUCGAGCCUUCAGCUAACUCAUACUCUACGCCACCCGAUCCCGGGUGGCUCGUCUGUGCAGAUCAAUCUUCCUGUUGUCAAUCAAAUCUUCAGUAGCAACCGGGCGAUCAUCGUGCCGCAUACUUCUCCGUUGGCAAGGAUCCGCCCUGUUCAAGGCCGGUAUGUUCCACCAGAGGUGGCUGCUGUGAAAGUCCCCCUGCUGCAUCUUUCAAACUUCCAGAUAAAUGACUGGCCCGAGCUUUCGGCAAAAAGCUAUGCAAUUAUGGUUUUGAUGCUCCCGUCUGAUAGCGCGAGGAAAUGGCAUGUUCAUGAAUUGGAGCUUGUCGAGGUCGUCGCCGAUUAGGUUGCUACUACACUUUCCCUGACUAGGUAG